rnacentral:tRNA from 1 species
UCCCACGUAGCUCAGUCGGUAAAGAAUUUGCCUGCAAUGCAGGAGACCUGGGUUCGAUUCCUGGGUUGGGAA